ACGUCAGCUUUUGUGCUCCUGGGAUGCUGCUUGGGCCUGCUGUGUUCAUCCAGCUCCACACUUUGUUAACUAGUCAUUGUUCUGAUGCUUUAUCUUAGGAGUUAAAAAUGCCGGCUACAGGUACGUGCUAUUGCUACUUGUUUAUUUAAGCUCUACGUUUACGGAGAUGGCUAGACAGGUGCCAUGAGGUUCAUUCAACUCAAACCCCCAAUGCCUCUUCAACUGGAGGAAGUACCCGUUAUGCGUGCAUUCAUGCAACUGCAGAACGUUUGGGCGGAAUAGAUAACUAUAACUUAAGGAGAGCCGCGAGUCGGAAUUCAAUUUGACGUUUGUGAUCUCAAGGAUCAUGCAAGGAGCUACCUCCAAUUUUGCAGACAUCCUGCAGAGGCAAACGCAGGGGUUUGUUUAUAGAGCGUCCAGGAGGAAGGAUGGAGUCAAGUACUUCCAGCAGGGCCUGGCUAUUUGCAUGUCCUUCUUUCCGUUUUAUUUUCCAGCCUCUGAACCAAGGCAUCUACAAAAAAAACAAAACAAUUGUAGAAGCCAUGUUAAAAACUUGUACGACGAACACCCAAUCUUCUGGAACUUGGAAAAUUGUCUAUACGCUUGGAGUCAGCACUUAGACACUGGGAAACAACGGUUUUUAAAGGGAUCAGGACUUCCAACUCAGUGCAAUUAUUGGUGUGCGUUAUGUUACAUAACUUUACCGGCUUUGAAAUAAUGAAUGUUACUCGCUUACCCGAGUCAUAUAGGGAAGACAUCUACCUUGGAACUGGGGCUCAGCAGAUUCUCCCCAUUCCAGCCACAAACCGGCACGAAGGGCACACUCGCCACAUUGUUGCCGAUCUUGCGAAUAUGAAAGCUGACGUUCACCACUUCCUCGAUCCUUCUCUGGCUGUACGGCGGUUGAGUUACAUCCAUCUUAUUGACACAGACAAGGAGUUGUUUCACUCCGAGGGUGAAAGCGAGAAGGGCAUGUUCCCGAGUCUGACCCGACCUCGAAAUUCCAGCUUCGAGCUCGCCUGGGGCGGCCGAGACAACGAGGAGAGCGUCGUCAGCCUGCAGAGUGCAGCGGGGAGAGGAGAGACAAAGACCAGUUUCAGAAAGACUGCCGGAUGACAGCUAGGAGAGCGCCAUCUACUCGAGAGAAGAAACAGUGCUGGCGACAGAGCGACUGUUCAAACCUUCAGUUUUGAACCAUUUCUUCUUCCCUAUUGUUUGUUUUCUAGAAACAAGGUCUUUCCAGUUACUUUUCCCCUUGUGUCUAAUCUCAGGCCAGGGUACAGAUUUAUAACAGACAUCAAGUUCACGCUAGAUUUGAACAGUUGACAUUUUCGUCAAUUUCAACUGAAUACUUUAAAACGGUUCUGCAAAUAUUCCUCUCGCUGUUUCUAACAUCCACAGUAUUUUCAUGAACUGGGGUGGUUUGAAUGGCCUACUCAGUAGUGGUGAGCUGUGAGUACUGUUAACAGAAUUAAAAACGACUCAUUAAUACUCAACUUACGCUGGUGUUUCACGGGAUCCUCCGAAAGGAAGCGUUAUGAAACGGGUAUGAUUGCAUUGAAGUGGUACCUGGGACGUUCCAGUCAACAUGUUUUUGAUGAAAUCACGAUGGCCGGGAGCAUCGAUGAUGGUGAAGUAGAAUCUCUGGAUUUGAUGUUAAUAGCAGAAGACACCAAAUCUGAACAGAAAUUCUGGAAGAAACGUGAAGUUGGCAUUGGUUAAGCCCAGAGCCAUAAUCACCACUUAAGGAGAGAAGUCACUGCAGAAUAAAGUUUUUAGGUUUUGGACUAAAGCCACAAGGGGAGUCGAAGAAGGAAGAAUAUUUCAUACAUCUAGUGGUAAAGACUUGAGAUUCAUUGGCUGCAAGAGGG